CUUCCUAAAUUACGUGUCCCCUAUCAUUGGGCUCAUAUUUGGGUACAUCUUGAUUCAGUGAGCGAAUCCUUGAUUUUCCAAAAGGUUGAAGUGGACUUGAUUUUCCACUUCUUGGGUAAGUUGUGGAAUUUACAUAUGGGGUAAUUUGAAUGGUUGAAACUAUUUAGAAAGAUGUUGAUUUUAUGAUUGAUUAUGUUUA